rnacentral:miRNA from 1 species
ACCAUUGUCUUGGUUUGCCUGGGACUGAGGGUGUCCUGGGACAUGGGACUUUCAGUGCUAAGAUUGG